GUCAGCUGCUAUGACAAUGCCCGGGCGAUCGUGCCCUCCAGCGCUGCCUGCAUGCCGAGGAGGAAGCGAGUCCCCACGUGAAUAAUCGGGCUCCGCCGGCUCACAGCGGAUGUCAGAAGGUUGCUGGCAGAGGUGGUUGGGGCUAUGUGCCUGGAGUGAAGAUUCUGCCCAUUGGUCAAGAGACCUCCCUCUCAGAUGCUGGCUCUGCCCCUGCCUUUGGGGGUCGACCCUUGUACUCGCAGGACCUUAGGUGACUCUGACUUUGUCAAAGGAAAAAUUUCUGCAUGUGCACACACAGAUCUUGGAAGUUUAUUCAUCUCAGCAGAGGCAGACAGGAGCAUCAACAGCCUUGGGGACAGCAGCAGUGGUGGUAGGGCAAAAUAAAACUUAUAUGAAACUGUAAUCACUAAUGUGUGAAAAUGGAAGAUUCAGGAAGUGUUUCAUAUCUGAAAUAUGAACCCAACGUGGAAUCAACAUGC
rnacentral:lncRNA from 1 species